GACGAACGCUGGCGGCGUGCCUAAUACAUGCAAGUAGAACGCUGAAGAGAGGAGCUUGCUCUUCUUGGAUGAGUUGCGAACGGGUGAGUAACGCGUAGGUAACCUGACUUGUAGCGGGGGAUAACUAUUGGAAACGAUAGCUAAUACCGCAUAACAAUGGAUGACACAUGUCAUUUAUUUGAAAGGGGCAAUUGCUCCACUACAAGAUGGACCUGCGUUGUAUUAGCUAGUAGGUGAGGUAAUGGCUCACCUAGGCGACGAUACAUAGCCGACCUGAGAGGGUGAUCGGCCACACUGGGACUGAGACACGGCCCAGACUCCUACGGGAGGCAGCAGUAGGGAAUCUUCGGCAAUGGGGGCAACCCUGACCGAGCAACGCCGCGUGAGUGAAGAAGGUUUUCGGAUCGUAAAGCUCUGUUGUAAGUCAAGAACGGGUGUGAGAGUGGAAAGUUCACACUGUGACGGUAGCUUACCAGAAAGGGACGGCUAACUACGUG
rnacentral:rRNA from 1 species